rnacentral:rRNA from 1 species
GACGAACGCUGGCGGCGCGCCUAACACAUGCAAGUCGAACGGAGCUGAGAGGAGCUUGCUUUUCUUAGCUUAGUGGCGAACGGGUGAGUAACGCGUGAGUAACCUGCCCUGGAGUGGGGGACAACAGUUGGAAACGACUGCUAAUACCGCAUAAGCCCACGGCCUGGCAUCGGGCUGAGGGAAAAGGAUUUAUUCGCUUCAGGAUGGACUCGCGUCCAAUUAGCUAGUUGGUGAGGUAACGGCCCACCAAGGCGACGAUUGGUAGCCGGACUGAGAGGUUGAACGGCCACAUUGGGACUGAGACACGGCCCAGACUCCUACGGGAGGCAGCAGUGGGGGAUAUUGCACAAUGGGGGAAACCCUGGUGCAGCGACGCCGCGCGGAGGAAGAAGGUUUUCGGAUUGUAAACUCCUGUCGUUAGGGACGAUAAUGACGGUACCUAACAAGAAAGCACCGGCUAACUACGUGCCAGCCGCCGCAGUAACAC